UAGGGAAAUGCACAAUGGAGGAAACUCUGAUGCAGCGACGCCGCGUGAGUGAUGAAGAUCUUCGGAUUGUAAAGCUCUGUUCUAUGGGAAGAAAAAAAUGACGGUACCAUAGAAGAAAGGAUCGGCUAACUUCGUG
rnacentral:rRNA from 1 species